AUUGAACGCUGGCGGCAGGCCUAACACAUGCAAGUCGAGCGGAUGAAGGGAGCUUGCUCCUGGAUUCAGCGGCGGACGGGUGAGUAAUGCCUAGGAAUCUGCCUGGUAGUGGGGGAUAACGUCCGGAAAUGGGCGCUAAUACCGCAUACGUCCUGAGGGAGAAAGUGGGGGAUCUUCGGAUCUCACGCUAUUAGAUGAGCCUAGGUCGGAUUAGCUAGUUGGUGGGGUAAAGGCCUACCAAGGCGACGAUCCGUAACUGGUCUGAGAGGAUGAUCAGUCACACUGGAACUGAGACACGGUCCAGACUCCUACGGGAGGCAGCAGUGGGGAAUAUUGGACAAUGGGCGAAAGCCUGAUCCAGCCAUGCCGCGUGUGUGAAGAAGGUCUUCGGAUUGUAAAGCACUUUUAGUUGGGAAGAAGAGCAGUAAGUUAAUACCUUGCUGUUUUGACGGUACCCACAGAAUAAGCACCGGCUAACUUCGUG
rnacentral:rRNA from 1 species